CCAGUAUUCUUGCCUGGAGAAUCCCAUGGACUGAGGAGCCUGGCAUCCACUGGACUCAACUGAAGCGACUUAGCACAGCGCAGUCCUGGAUCUUCGUCGCUGCAUGUGGGCUUUUCUCUAGUUGCGUGUGUAUCACUUACUGUCAAUAAACUUGCCACGUGUGGACUGCAGCUGUGUUGAAGAGUAAACGCUGGGACCAGAUAAAGCUACAUGAUAUGGAAGAUAAAUAAGCUGAAAGACCCUUAAACUCAGUGGCAGGCUGGAAAACGGGAAACUCGAGUGACAGUGUUGAGACUGAAAUCUGCAAGUCAGACCAGUAGUCUGAGAAUACAGGCAAGAUUUCAGUGUUAGCGUUACUUUAAAGUCAAUUAAUUAUAAGUGUUAAUUACAUUUACAAAAAUACCUUUACAGCAACAUCGAGGCUUAGGUUUGCCCAAACAACUGGGCACUGUAGCCUGUCCAAGUUGACACAUAAAAUGAACCAUCACAAGCACAUUUUUUUAACCACGAGGUC
ensembl:lncRNA